CGGCCACCAAAACUUCCGAUCCUUGGCUCCAUGAACUCCCCUCAACCUGCUGAUCAUCAUACUAGGAGGAUUGCACCUAGAGUGACCGGUUUCACGUUCGUCGGAGCUCGUGAGUUCUCCUUGAUGUUCUUAACAACUCUCUAGAAGGGAUCGAAGCCUGAAAUUGAAGUUUUGACGUCGAAAUCAAGCCUUGCCGGAUUCUGCAAAUUUCGCCGGAUUCUGGAAAUUUUCCGGCCACCUCGACUGUUUUAGGUGAUUGACGGAUCGAUUUGGCGGACAAUUUGUGAAAUUGUUGUUGAGCUGUUAAGAAGAUGCAGCUGGAUUAGAGGUGAGUAAAAUCGCACAUGGUUCCUUCAUGAACCGAAAUUUAGUGAUUUAUAUUGAAUUAUAAAGGUGUGGAAAAUUGUUUUAAGAAAAUAAAGAUUUGUUUUGAAAUAAUAUGAACUUGAUCGACUACGGUUCAUAGGGCUACUACUCACAGGUAAGGAAAAUGAAUUUAAGUAUAAAAAUGAAUUUCUUGUUUUUAUUGCA